rnacentral:rRNA from 1 species
UACGUAGGGCGCAAGCGUUAUCCGGAAUUAUUGGGCGUAAAGAGCUCGUAGGCGGUUUGUCGCGUCUGCCGUGAAAGUCCGGGGCUCAACUCCGGAUCUGCGGUGGGUACGGGCAGACUAGAGUGAUGUAGGGGAGACUGGAAUUCCUGGUGUAGCGGUGAAAUGCGCAGAUAUCGGGAGGAACACCGGUGGCGAAGGCGGCAUCCUGGACCGGCAUUGACGCUGAGGAGCGAAAGCCAGGGGAGCAAACGGG